CCAGACUCCUACGGGAGGCAGCAGUGGGGAAUAUUGGGCAAUGGAGGGAACUCUGACCCAGCAACGCCGCGUGAAGGAUGAAGGUUUUCGGAUUGUAAACUUCUGUCGCGAGGGACGAAGAAUGACGGUACCUCGUAAGAAAGCCCCGGCUAACUACGUGCCAGCAGCCGCGGUAAUACGUAGAGGGCGAGCGUUGUCCGGAAUGACUGGGCGUAAAGGGAGUGUAGGCGGCUGUGCAAGUUAGAUGUGAAAUCCCAUGGCUUAACCAUGGAACUGCAUCUAAAACUGCAUAGCUGGAGUGCAGGAGAGGUGAGUGGAAUUCCUAGUGUAGCGGUGGAAUGCGUAGAUAUUAGGAGGAACACCAGAGGCGAAGGCGACUCACUGGACUGUAACUGACGCUGAGGCUCGAAAGCGUGGGGAGCAAACAGGAUUAGAUACCCGAGUAG
rnacentral:rRNA from 1 species